GGGGCUAUAGCUCAGCUGGGAGAGCGCCUGAGUGGCACUCAGGAGGUCGUCGGUUCGAGCCCGACUAGCUCCA
rnacentral:tRNA from 1 species